UUUAAACAUGAGAGUUUGAUCUUGGCUCAGGACGAACGCUGGCGGCAUGCCUAAUACAUGCAAGUCGAACGAUGACGUCACUGCUUGCAGUGACUGAUUAGUGGCGAACGGGUGAGUAACACGUGAGGA
rnacentral:rRNA from 1 species